rnacentral:lncRNA from 1 species
GACUUGAACCAGCACGCAGAUCGGAAAGCCACUUCGAAGGAAACCUUGUAGAGAAGAAGAGCAACUUUCUAAUUCCUGUCAAACUAAGAGGCGGAACCAAGCCCAGAAGUAGCCUCAAGGCCUGGAGAGAGCAGAGCAGAGAGCAGACUCCACACUCCAGCCAAGGCUCAAGAAAGGCUUUGCUUCUGGAGGCGGCAUUGUUCCUCCAUCCGCUCAGCCUCCACGUCUCCCCUCCGCGGACUCUCAGAAUCACUGCCUUUCUCGGGUACCUCUCCGCCGACCUCCGGGAUCUGGGUGCCGGGGUCCCAGGGCGCACCCAGGCAGGCUCACUGCAGAGGCUGGGGAGCCGCUCCGAAGACUCGGAGCCUCCGCACGAGUCCGCCCCGACCGGGGCAACGCGCAGCGCACACUCACUGUCUCGCUCUUCUCGGCUUCCCUGGCUCCCACGGACUCGGCUGGCCUCUCACUACCCACUCGGGUUCGCCUUUCCUGCCUUGGCUUCCCACACCAGCUCGGCACCGCCGCCACAGCCGCGUCCCGACGCUCCGAACCCUAGCAGGCCGGGAUGAAGGGAUGCCAGGAUCAGGGAUGCACCCGAAGAAGAGAGGCUAAGGCGAGCCGGGGCAGGUGGGGAGUCGCGGGGUGCGGGAGAGGGCGUGCGCGAGCGAGCCCCCGAGAAAGAUGCAUGUGCUCGGCCACCGCGCUGGAAGAAGGACCGAGGGGGCAGGAUGCAACGUGGAGAACGCCCACCGCGAGGGUGCGCAAAACCGGCGAUUUGCAAAGUGCCAGGGCCAGACAGGCAGAGGGGGAGGAAGGAGGCUGGCUGAAGACCAGGAACAGAGAGAAGAGCCCACUUCUCCAUCAAAAGGUCGGUUCGGUUAACGCAUCCCCAGAGCAGGAGUUAAUCUAGGACUGGAUGCAGUGUAAAAGGUGGGUUUUAAAAAACUCUCUGGCCCUGUAGGUCUUCUUAUGCUAGACUUAGCUCCCUCUCUCUCAACUCUAGGGAUUUGCCCUCACUGUGACACAACUGGAAUUUGCAGGAGCUGAAAGCCCACUGUCCUCCUUGCUGUUUAUCUGCAUUUAGGAGAUUCUAUGAAACCUAAGAUUGAAGAAACCACCCAGUUCAUGAAAGUUUAUUAAUUUUUAUUAUUUUUAUUUUCACCAGAAGAUAGUGGAGACUUGACACCAAGAUGUGUUUAAAACAUUGAUCUGAUCGACAUGGC